rnacentral:rRNA from 1 species
GACGAACGCUGGCGGCGUGCUUAACACAUGCAAGUCGAACGGAAAGGCCUUUUCGGAGGUACUCGAGUGGCGAACGGGUGAGUAACACGUGGGUGAUCUGCCCUGCACUCUGGGAUAAGCCUGGGAAACUGGGUCUAAUACCGGAUAGGACCGCACUUUAGUGUGUGUGGUGGAAAGUUUUUUCGGUGUAGGAUGAGCCCGCGGCCUAUCAGCUUGUUGGUGGGGUAAUGGCCUACCAAGGCGGCGACGGGUAGCCGGACUGAGAGGUUGGUCGGCCACAUGGGACUGGGAAACGGCCCAGACUCCUACGGGGAGCAGCAGGUGGGGAUAUUGCACAAUGGGCGCAAGCCUGAUGCAGCGACGCCGCGUGGGGGAUGACGGCCUUCGGGUUGUAAACUCCUUUCGCCAGGGACGAAGCGUUUUGUGACGGUACCUGGAGAAGAAGCACCGGCUAACUACGUG